AUCGAUCGGGUGUUGGAGAGAUUACAUAUAGAUAACAUAUGAUAUUGACCUGGUAAAAAAAGGAAGAUUUUAGAUAAAUGAAGGUCUAUGUAUAUUAAGAUAAUGUAGGUCUAUGUAUACUUUUGUCUGCUUUAUCAUCCGAUCUAAAAGAUGAAGUGGAUGACUCAUCUUGGAGAUUGCAUAUGGAAGCAACCAUGUGGAUGCUUGCGACAGUACAUAGAGGAUUAUUUCAAUAGUGGUGGAUCGAACCUUGCUUAGCCUAGCAAUGAG
rnacentral:misc_RNA from 1 species